AUGAACGCCCCCCCCCCCCCCCCGCCACCCCCACACCGCAGUCAUGAAGUCUACAGAAAGAAGGCGGGGAAGAACCGUCGAGGUUUUUGGAAUGGCCUCAGUGUCUGUGCUACAGACAAACUCGUCUUUGGACAAGGAACCCAAGUGAUCGUGGAACCAAAAAUUCAGCCACCUACCAAACCAUCUGUUUUCAUCAUGAAAAAUGGAACGAAUGUUGCCUGCCUGGUGAAGGAUUUCUAUCCCAAGGAUGUGACUAUAAGUCUCAAAUCAUCCAAGAAGAUAGCAGAAUUUGACCCUGCUAUAGUCAUCUCACCCAGUGGGAAGUACAGUGCCGUCAAGCUUGGUCAGUAUGGAGAUUCCAAUUCCGUGACAUGCUCAGUUCAGCACAACAGUGAAACUGUGCACUCCACUGACUUUGAACCACAUGCAAAUUCUCUCGAUAAUAUAAAACCACCAGAACAUGAAAAUGCCACACAAACUUCAGAGACCUGCCAUGGCCCAAAAGUUCACACCAAGAAGGUAAAUAUGAUGUCCCUCACAGUGCUGGGGCUACGAAUGCUGUUUGCCAAGAGUGUGGCCAUCAAUUUUCUCUUCACUGCCAAGUACUUCUUCUUCUAAGGCUGGCUGGCAUGAGGAGACUACAGUUCCUGAAAGAAAAUCAAAAGCUUAUGAACACGCUGUAUCCAAGGCUUCCAACUCCUUCGUGCUCCAAACUGACCCGCCACCACCGCCUCUAAACAGCUGCUAACAAAACCAGCUUUUCUGUGAAGGCAACAAGCCUAGCUAAUCCUCCGGUCUAGUAGAAAACCAGAAGCCCUGGGGAGUGGGGUUUGUGGGCCUGGCUUUACACACUGCUUUUAUAAAGGCUCGGAAAGCUAUGAAAACAUAGACCUAUUUUAUUUUCCCCUUAUAACUGGUAUACUUUGGAAAUGGUGUUCCAUCCUUCUUUAUUUACCCAGAACUAGAAAGUGGGGACCAGUAAAUCAGCAGCUUAAUUACCCAGGAGGAAAAUGGUCUUGGGAAAGAGAACAUGUAUCUUUUUAGCUUAACGUGGAAAGCUGCACUCAGCCCGUUCCUAGCCAGCGCCCCACUCCUCCUCCUCUCCUGAGGCACGGAUGGCCCACCCUCUGGAUUUGCCCACACAGCCAUGCAGGAGAGUGUUCCUAGCAGCACCCGGUGCCAACGACUUGAGCACUUCCUGCUUCUAAUAUUUUACAAUCAUGUUUAGCUUCCUCAAUGCCCUCCCAGCAGGCAAUAAAGCUUCUGCAAUCACAUCUAAUUAUUCUCCACUCUAGUACCGAAGAUGAAAGUAAAACACAGAGAGGAAGGACACCUCUUUCUGUGAACUGCCUUCACGUGGACAAACGGGCUGAGUCCCAGGCGCAGUACCGGGGGGUGCAGAUUAACACCUGUGCCCGGCCUGUCAUCGACUCAUUGUGCAAGCGUUUUGGAAGCGGGGACAGGAAUGUGACCUCUCUUUUUUCCUGGGAAGGCAGCACCUUUAUUGUCUUUUGCCGGCCAGUCUGUGCCCAGGGCUUCUGACAUCACUGGGCACAGAUCCUUUCACCUGGAUCUUUGAUGUGCCUUCCUGCCUUUCUUCUCAGGCCUGCCUCUGUUGCAUUUAUUAAGCUGCUGGCCUCUGCCUUCACUCACUGUGGACUACCAGGGCAAGGGGCACUCAGCUCUGUUGAGCUAUUAGUCUGCUGGAAGCCAGGCUGAGCACGUCAGUCACACCACAGCUUCCUGAUCCCCAGGCCCCAGAUGCCUGUCUGGGGGGCUAGGCCCUGGUUUCCUGCUGCUGUUAGAACAGCAACACCUUCAAUGUGGUGUUCAGCUCUGUUAGUCGCAGCUCAGCGUGGCCACAGCUUUAUUGGUAUACCCACGAAGGUAGCAGGCCUUAGCAACCCGGCACUGUGGUUUCCUCAGCUGCUAUGAGAAGUAUAAAGCAGGGGUCGCGGUGUGGCAUGUGAAAGAGCAAUUAUCACUGGCAAUUCUCCAGCCACCUUCAACCACAGACUCCGAACCAAAGGAGGGAGUCACUGGGUUCAGGGAAAUCUAGAUGGAUAGGCCAGCUCUACCCAGGGAACAGCAAUCACAGUACUCCACACCUCACCGGGUAUCGUGCAGAAUGCCUAGUCCCAAAGCACUCACUUCUGCUCCCUUGCUGCGACCUCAGGAUGGUAUUCUGAAGUUCUUGGGAAAAGAUCACAUCCUCAUGUUUCAAGUGGAGCAAAACAUUUGCCCUGUCAGCCCCGCCCCAGAAAAAAAGGUUUGUACUUUGUCAAAAGUCAUUCAGUGAGGCAGAGAUAUUGCUAGGAAUGGAACCAAGGUCUCAAGACUGUCAGCCCAAAGUUGCUGUCCCAUGAGCUCACUACAUCACCAAAAUGAGGACAAUGUGUCGAUCUAAAUGUCACUACAUUGAGCUUCAGGACUGCCUCUUGUCAGCAACAAAUGAGACAACUCUGACCCACCAAGCUAGGAAAAACUCCUAGCACAUCACAGGAUUAUAAAUUUCUUCCACCAAAAUGAACCUCCAAAAAUUUUAAAUUACUAUUUUAGUUAGUAUACAAAUAGCAAGUUUGAUUAUAAGAUUUUCCUACAGGUAUGUCAUUAUCUUGUUCAGAUUCACCACCACCCCCUUAUUCAUGCCCACCCCCUCCCACCAGCCCUCUCCCUCCCUAAAAUUAUUCUUCCUCUGCUUUCGUGUACGUGUGUGUGUGUGUGUGUGUGUGUGUGUGUGUGUGUGUGUGUGUGAAGACUGAAGCCAGGAGCCACGAAAGAUUUGGCUGCCUUAGGAUGGACCAUGAGCUGUGGUUCCCUCACCUCAUCCUCUCUGCUGCUCCACAGAGUGGCUACGUUUCACUUACUGUGUCUAAAAUGCAUGCAAACUCCUGCCCAAAUUCACCCAGAUAAAGCCUCCUAGGAUCUAGCUGCAACAGAGUUCUAGAAGUACAGCCUGGCGUCCCUGGCUAUCAUGAACCAGCUGUGAAACUGUGAGACCAUUUCUUACUUCUGGGCUCUUCCAUCCCUAGGAUUGUGUCUAAUAACUCUGAUGGUAUGUUUAAGAAGCAGAUGUUACUAGAAGUAGAGAAAGGUGAAACCGUGUCUCAGAGACUGAAGGGGCAUCUGUUUCCAUAUCACACAGCCAGUUUCUCCUGGAGAAAAUGGUCUUGUCUCCAGAGCUAUUGAGCUCCACAUUCAGCACCUUAGAAAAUAUGUUCAGUUCUUAGACAACUGGCCAGGCAUAUUCUUCAGCAAAGAGAGAGGAUAAAAUAAGUAAAACUAGGUCUUUAAAGAAUGCCCAGGACAUAACAAGAUACAGAACAAAGGUAAGAGAGGAGCGGAUUAAGAAUCCACUAGGAGUCUCCAAAUGAAAGCUUACUUAUGCACAGUAAUGAGUAGGCAAUGGCGGAGAUAAACUAAAAACAGUGAUGGUGACAUCCUUGGUCCAGCCCCUGCACCAUUCUGUUACCCUCACAGCAGACAGCACAGACUUGAGGAGAGAGAGUGUGUGUCCUCAAGCUGUAGUUCUCCACAGUCAACCAUAAGAGACUCGAGUGACAAAGACCCAGUGAACCCGAAGUGAGAGAUGAUCUGCACCUCGGAAGCCAGCAUCUUCCUGGCUGUGGCCCGGCCUUUGCUUAGCAGUCACUUGAGGGCACCACUAAAGGCCAGCCUGGAACAGAAAUGACUGAGAAGGAGGCCUGACAAAGUGGCAGGUGACUUCCUGUGGAAGGGGGCCACUCCUAAACUGUGCUCCUGGGGUUUAGGUACAGGCUUCCUGAGCAAUUACACCACAGUGGCACCUGAGGCACAAAAGUAAGUGGCACUGUCUUCAAGAGUCACUGGAGAGAUCACCAGGUGGAAGGUUCGAUAGACCUUGCUGUGUUUCACAAAAAAUCGACCUUGAGCAAAAUCUGCGUCAUAGAAUCUAGUAUCAUCCCUAUAAAGAAUGAACUGCAAGGUCAGGUCUUGCCUCUUGCGAUACCAAAAUAAAUCCGGAUUUUGAUUAUACCCGUCAUAAGUGCAAAGCAAUGUUACUGCACUUCCACUUGCCACUGUCAUGUUGGGGGAGCUCUGGAUCAGUGUGAUACACAGCACAUCCUUGUCUGUGAAGAGGAAAUGAGACAAUAGUAGCUUUUGCAUUUUCAGACCCUGGCCAGCUCAGAGGAACUCAAUGGAGAACAGGAAUGGAAGUCACAGGCAGAGAAUGACUAGACACUAAGCAUGUAAGAAAAAGAGAGGCAGAGCCAGGCGGUUCUCUGUGAGUUCGA